rnacentral:rRNA from 1 species
UACAGAGGUCUCAAGCGUUUGUUCGGAUUCAUUGGGCGUAAAGGGUGCGUAGGUGGCGCCGUAAGUCAGGUGUGAAAUUUCGGAGCUUAACUCCGAAACUGCAUUUGAUACUGCGGUGCUUGAGGACUGGAGAGGAGACUGGAAUUUACGGUGUAGCAGUGAAAUGCGUAGAGAUCGUAAGGAAGACCAGUGGCGAAGGCGGGUCUCUGGACAGUUCC